CACUUGCUCAGUUUGGAGACCUUUUAUUUGUCCUCGACUCCAUUGAAAAGAAACAUAAUAUAUGGAAAAAUUACUAGAAAAUCUAGGAAAACUGACUGAAUGCUUUGGAAAGACACAGUCAAGUUUCACCUCCUUAUGCUGGAUAUGCGACGACUCCAGGAAUUUUCUAAUCUAAGAACGAGCGUGUUCAGUGAAAUAUCAUCGGUGUUGCAAUCCGGGGGAGCACGUGAAUGUGCCUGCCAGGGGAGUCAAAAGCCCUUCUUGUAGAACCGUGAAAGGAAAUAGGAAGUGAAAGCUUUGCCAUGUAGAACAUUCCUCCACACUGAGAGCACAGAGGAUACAGACUUAGUUCAUAUCCCAGCUUCAAUCUUAGAGUGCCGUGUAGAUAUUCCUCUGUGAGUAAUGACAUUUCCUCAACAUUUAUAUAACCCUGAAAUAUCUUCUGAUUUCUGCCUUUGGUGUAUAGGAAGCAACAGCACUUCUUUUAAAAGGGGAAGGAGGGUCAGCGCGGUGGCUUAUGCCUGUAAUCCCGGCACUUUGGGAGGCCGAGGCGGGCAGAUCAUGAGGUCAAGAGAUGGAGACCACCCUGGCCAACAUGGUGAAACCCCGU
rnacentral:lncRNA from 10 species